rnacentral:ncRNA from 1 species
AAUAAGUGAAGGCAAACCAUUCGAAAGGGUGGGAUGCAAAACCUAGGGUCUAAAGCGAAGAGAUAUACAAUCUUUCAUGCUAGGAUCGCCUAGUUGCCAAU